ensembl:lincRNA
CAUUCUUAUAUUCUUCCAACAAUUAUUUUUGUCUUUUGUUGAACAGACUUGGCAUGGAGAUUAUGAUGGUGAGCUGAAAGAAAGACACCGCCCUGCCCACAUAGAGAUGUGGGGGAAGCAGAUGCUAAUGAAUAAACUAAUGAACAAAAAUUACAACAUGCAGAUUCAAGGUAACCACAGACAGAAUAUCUUUCUGGAAGACAGAAGAGAAUGCAGGACAAGAAUAAAGAGGAUUUUAGGAAAUUUAACCGAGAAAAGCAACAAAACAUCUUCCCUCCUCCUGAUUUUGCCUAGAGGUGUCCCACCUGCUCCAACAGCACAUGAAGAAAUUCAGGCCAUGAAGAGGCCAAUUUUUCUCCAUGACCAUGACAUAACAUAACCAUGUGUCCAACUUAGAGGGACACUGAACAACAUCCUUGUGGGAACUUAUCCAGCAAUAUUCAUAUGAGAGGUGCUUUCUGGACUCUCCUUAGGAAUGUCAGAAAUAUUCUGUUAGCCAUUUCUGGAUGGUAUGAAAAAGUAAUAUUUCCACCCGUGGCUGGUGGGCUGAGUGUUAAUGGGCAUAUCAGGAGUGGAAACAACUCAACCAUUUGUACAGAGUUUCCAGUGUGAUGCCGUAAAGGUCAACAGUCAUCUAUAUUGAUGAGGUACAAUAAUAAAAUAUUGUGACUGAUUUUUGUCAUUGGCAUAGUCUUAGUAAGAUGAUGCUCAUAGAAUUUGACAAAUCAGUAAGAGAUCCAAUUACAUGUAAUUUAAAUAUUUCUGACUUGUGGCCCUGUUGCAAAGAAUUUGAAAAAUAUAUAUAUAGAAUGAGGUGGUAAAGAGAGGAAAUUGAAUCCAAGCAGAUGGUGAAGCAAAGCAUAGGGAUUACAGAUUCUAAAAGUCAGUCUCAAAUAUUAGGUAAUGAUAUGAUUCAAACAUUUGGCAAAUAUUGACAUAGCAACCAUAAACUAGGGAGGGACUUCAUGUGUCCCAUCAGAGUCAUAGACACAAAUCCAGUUGGUGGUGUCCUGGCAUCCUGGUCUUUAAUCAUUAAGAAACCCGAUCCAGCUAAAAAUGCUGCCCUAAAAACUGCUCAUGAAGAUUAUUGCAAAAUUUGGGGGGAUGACAUAAGUUUUUCCUUAGUGGAUAUAGAUCUUUAACACCAGGAAGAUUUGAAAAAAUAUAUAUAUAUGCAUACAUAUAUAUUUAAAUAUGCAUACUUAAAAUGUAUCUAUAUACACCCAUAUAUACAUACACACAUAUACACACAAACAUUUGUGCAUAUAAAAAUAUAUAUACAUUCUUUUUCAGAGAAAAUCAAUCUCAUAAUAUUUGAGCAUUUAGAAGUAAUAUGGGCAUAUUUACUAUUUAAGAGAACUUGUAAAGAUUAACAGAAUUUAGUCUAUUAGAAUAAUAUGUUGGUGUUACAAUUCCAAUUUAAAAUAAGUAGACCUGUGAUUUUAAGCUUAAAUCUUUUUAGGAAAGGUGUUUAUUAGUUUAAAAAUGUACUUAAAAAGAAAGUCAAAUAUAUGAAAUUUAUAU